AUAAUAUUAUGAAUAAAGCAUAUUUUUGAAAUUAAAAAAAAGUUCUUCCAGGACGGGGCUAUCCCAUUGCACUUCGGGUGUGCUGAUGCCUGCGAUUUCCCCAAAUGCGGGAUACUCGACUGCAAAAUUUGUGGUAGUGGGGGACUGUGUCCGUGCUCUCCCCUG